UAGUCUCUGGGCUUGAGCGAGAACCAGAGAAAUUUCAACCAGGAGAAGAACUUCUAUCAUGCUCUGCCCUGGCCUGCUGUGGGCAUUCCUGGCCUCCUUUGGCUUCAGGUCCAGCAUGGCUCAGAAGGUAGUCCCAAUUCAGACCACAAUCACAAGGCAGGAAGGAGCAGCUGUGACCAUGGACUGGAAGUAUGAAACCACUUGGAGCAAUUAUUAUACUUUGUACUGGUACAAACAGCCUCCCAGCAGAGAGAUGGUUUUCCUUAUUUAUCAGGAUUAUUCUAAGCCGAAUGUAAAGCAGGGUCGCUUCUCUGUGAACUUUCAAAAGGCAGAAAAAUUCAUCAGCCUUACCAUCUCUUCCUUACAACUGGAAGACUCAGUGACUUACUUCUGUGCUCUUGGGUCUCCCACAAUCUUUAGACCAAGAGGAAUCAUAUCAAGACCAGAGGAAGACUAUAGGCGAUCAAUCAGGAAUCCUGCCUUUGAUCAGAAGGAGUCACUGAAAGGGGAUCCUAAGUUGUCUCCUUUGGAGAAGGACUACCUGUCUCCUGCGUUGGGAGAAGGGAGGGAAUGA